GGUUUCAGAUUGGGUGAUGGCUGAAGUUCCUGGCUCUCCAAAAUGCUAAGCCUUCCUCUCAGGAAGAGCCACCGACUCUCACCCCUUUGCUGCAGCAGAGCAAACCAAUUCCAGACCAUCUUGGCAGCCCCCAAAACUGGAUUCUCGACUGCGCCCUCCACAGUUUCUUGCCCACCUCCCUCAGCGCCCAAACAUCUCAUUCUUUCAAGGUAUCGUGUUCACCUCCCUCGGAAAGUUCUCUUGAUCGUCUCUGACGGCAAAACUCCUCAAUUCGGUCUCCAGAACCCAUGGCAGACAUAGCUGGCAGAGCUUGUUCCCUGCUUCUAUCUGCUCUGGUUGCCUUUUUCUCUCUCGUCUGUGUCUGAGGCACAGGCAGAGCGGGCUUUAGAAAAGGACAGCCCUGGGUUUCCAUCUUAGUUCUGUUACUGAGAGCUGUGGAGCUUGGGGCAAGGCGUGUCACGUCUCGGAAGCCUCUCUUUUCUCAUCCGCAGAUGAGGGAUGCUAAUGCCCACCUUGCUUCAAGGAAUGGCUUGGGUAGCAUGUGUUAAAAAUAACAAUGUGGAUAAAGAGGUGCACAGUAGCUGCUCAAUAAGUGGAAUCCAGCCAUGUUCUUAUGAUAAGACAUGCUUUGCAUUUUAAUUGCUUGUUUAGGUGUCCACUUCCCCCAGAGGGCAAUUGACUCUUUGGAGGAAAAGCAUGGACCUUAUUAACUCCUGUUUUUAGAUUUCUCCCGCCCUAGCACAGAGCUGGGCAUGCAUUCGGCUUGAAGGAUGUUUGAUUAAUAAAUUAGUAAAUAAAUGGAUACAUGGAUAAACACCUGCAACAAGCAUUUAGGAAGUGAAAUUAAACAGUGCCUGGGAUGUAGGAGGUGUUUAAUAAGCAUUUGUUUGUAAAUGAAUGAAUGAAUGAAUGAACACCUACAACCAAAGAUUCAGGGAUCUCAAUGAAGAUCAAACUGAGGGGUUUUGUGAUUUUCCCCCACAAAAUGACCCCCACCCCUCCUGCCAGAAGCAGCUCCCAUCAGCUUACUGAGGAACAACAAUGUUAAAUUAUUGCUUAACUGCUUCCCAGACGACCAUCUCCCCGCAUCUCGCCAGGAAAAUCAUCGCCAUUCUCUUCGUGCCAUGAACAGCUGCAGUUAACACGUUUGGGGUGCCUGUUAAGCACGAUUCCCUUCAGCCAGUCCAAACUUGAUUUCCACGGCUGCGUCUCCUUUCCACCGGGGAGAGCUCUCUCCAGGAACCUGACUCGCUAAGUCAAUGGUUCAGGGAAGAGAUGCACCAACAUCGUGCCGGCAGAUGAGGCGUGAUGGGCACCAGCACAGGGAAAGAAGAGGGGAGUGGGGCCCAGCAGCACCCCCAGCCUGGCACCUGGAGGAAGAGGGAGAGGAAAGGUGUGCAGACCAUCCUCCACGCACGGAGCCUUCUGCUUUCUUCCCUUUCCUCUAAGUGCUGCUGACUCAAAUGAAGACGACACUUUUUAAAAGACAUUCUCAGCGUGCCUUGCCCACCCGUGAGGUGCCCCCUAUAGCAUCCUUGAAAAGCAGUGGCCAGACUGAGGAGCACUUCUAAGGGCAGGAAGCUCACUCCCCUACAACAGCCAAGGAGCUUGGAGGGGACCAGGGCAUUUAGAAGCAAGAGGGGCACAGUGCCUCAUUGGCAGAAAG
rnacentral:lncRNA from 1 species